UCACCUGGGGGACAGGUGGGGCUGGGAGGGGCUCAGGUGUGACCCGAGGGACGGCCAAUCGUGGUGUGAGUUCACCUGGGGUUACCUGGGGGACAGGUGUGGGCUGGGUGGCGCUCAGGUGUACUCAGGUAUCCCCAGGUGUGCCCAGGUGUGCUCAGGUGUACCCAGGUAUGCUUUAGCAGUUCCCAGGUGUAUCUCAGGUGUGCCCAGGUGUGCUCAGGUGUGGUUUACCUGUAUCCAGGUGUGCCUAGGUGUGUCCCGGUGUGGUUUAGCUGUGCUCAGGUGUAUCUCAGGUAUCCCCAGGUGUGCUCAGGUGUACCCAGGUGUGGUUUAGCAGUGCCCAGGUGUAUCCCAGGUGUACCUGGGUGCAGUUUAGCUGUACCCAGGUGUACCCAGGUGUGCCCAGGUGUGCUCAGGUGUGCUCAGGUGUGGUUUAGCAGUGCCCAGGUGUAUCUCAGGUGUACCUGGGUGAGGUUUAGCUGUACCCAGGUGUACCCAGGUGUGCCCAGGUGUGCUCAGGUGUGCUCAGGUGUGGUUUAGCAGUGCCCAGGUGUAUCUCAGGUGUACCUGGGUGAGGUUUAGCUGUGCCCAGGUGUAUCUGAGGUGUGCCCAGGUGUGCCCAGGUGUGGUUUAGCCAUACCCAGGUGUGCCCAGGUGUGCUCAGGUGUAUCCCAGGUGUGCCCAGAUGUGCUCAGGUGUGGUUUAGCUGUGCCCAGGUGUAUCUCAGGUGUACCUGGGUGAGGUUUAGCUGUGCCCAGGUGUAUCUGAGGUGUGCCCAGGUGUGGUUUAGCCAUAACCAGGUGUGCCCAGGUGUGCUCAGGUGUAUCCCAGGUGUGCCCAGAUGUGCUCAGGUGU